UGGGGAAUUUUGGACAAUGGGCGAAAGCCUGAUCCAGCCAUGCCGCGUGAGUGAAGAAGGCCUUCGGGUUGUAAAGCUCUUUUAGUCGGAAAGAAAGAGUUGCAAUGAAUAAUUGUGAUUUAUGACGGUACCGACAGAAAAAGCACCGGCUAACUACGUGCCAGCAGCCGCGGUAAUACGUAGGGUGCGAGCGUUAAUCGGAAUUACUGGGCGUAAAGGGUGCGCAGGCGGUCUUGCAAGUCAGAUGUGAAAGCCCCGGGCUUAACCUGGGAAUUGCGUUUGAAACUACAAGACUAGAGUGCAGCAGAGGGGAGUGGAAUUCCAUGUGUAGCGGUGAAAUGCGUAGAGAUGUGGAAGAACACCGAUGGCGAAGGCAGCUCCCUGGGUUGACACUGACGCUCAUGCACGAAAGCGUGGGGAGCAAACA
rnacentral:rRNA from 1 species